GACGAACGCUGGCGGCGUGCUUAACACAUGCAAGUCGAACGGAAAGGCCCUGCUUUUGUUGGGUGCUCGAGUGGCGAACGGGUGAGUAACACGUGAGUAACCUGCCCUUGACUUUGGGAUAACUUCAGGAAACUGGGGCUAAUACCGCAUAUGAGCUCCUGCUGCAUGGUGGGGGUUGGAGAGUUUCGGCGGUUGUGGAUGGACUCGCGGCUUAUCAGCUUGUUGGUGGGGUAGUGGCUUACCAAGGCUUUGACGGGUAGCCGGCCUGAGAGGGUGACCGGCCACAUUGGGACUGAGAUACGGCCCAGACUCCUACGGGGGGCAGCAGUGGGGAAUAUUGCACAAUGGGCGGAAGCCUGAUGCAGCAACGCCGCGUGCGGGAUGACGGCCUUCGGGUUGUAAACAGCUUUCGCCUGUGACGAAGCGUGAGUGACGGUAAUGGGUAAAGAAGCACCGGCUAACUACGUG
rnacentral:rRNA from 1 species